UGAUCCUGGCUCAGAUUGAACGCUGGCGGCAGGCCUAACACAUGCAAGUCGAGCGGUAACAGAAAGUAGCUUGCUACUUUGCUGACGAGCGGCGGACGGGUGAGUAAUGCUUGGGAACAUGCCUUGAGGUGGGGGACAACAGUUGGAAACGACUGCUAAUACCGCAUAAUGUCUACGGACCAAAGGGGGCUUCGGCUCUCGCCUUUAGAUUGGCCCAAGUGGGAUUAGCUAGUUGGUGAGGUAAUGGCUCACCAAGGCAACGAUCCCUAGCUGGUUUGAGAGGAUGAUCAGCCACACUGGAACUGAGACACGGUCCAGACUCCUACGGGAGGCAGCAGUGGGGAAUAUUGCACAAUGGGCGAAAGCCUGAUGCAGCCAUGCCGCGUGUGUGAAGAAGGCCUUCGGGUUGUAAAGCACUUUCAGUCAGGAGGAAAGGGUGUGAGUUAAUACCUCGCAUCUGUGACGUUACUGACAGAAGAAGCACCGGCUAACUCCGUGCCAGCAGCCGCGGUAAUACGGAGGGUGCGAGCGUUAAUCGGAAUUACUGGGCGUAAAGCGUACGCAGGCGGUUUGUUAAGUGAGAUGUGAAAGCCCCGGGCUCAACCUGGGAACUGCAUUUCGAACUGGCAAACUAGAGUGUGAUAGAGGGUGGUAGAAUUUCAGGUGUAGCGGUGAAAUGCGUAGAGAUCUGAAGGAAUACCGAUGGCGAAGGCAGCCACCUGGGUCAACACUGACGCUCAUGUACGAAAGCGUGGGGAGCAAACGGGAUUAGAUACCCCGGUAGU
rnacentral:rRNA from 1 species